GCAGCAAUAGCUCAAUGGUAGAGCCCCCGCUUCGCGUGCGGGAGACCCGGGUUUGAUUCCCGGAUGCUUCC
rnacentral:tRNA from 1 species